rnacentral:rRNA from 1 species
GACGAACGCUGGCGGCGUGCUUAACACAUGCAAGUCGAGCGGAGCGGCGAACGGGUGAGUAAGGCGUGAGUAACUGCCCCCCUCUAUGGGAUAACCGAAGGAAACGGCUGCUAAUACAGGAUAGUGGGGGAUGAAUCGCGUCCUAUCAGCUUGUUGGUGGGGUAGUUGCCUACCAAGGCGACGACGGGUAGCCGGCCUGGGAGGGCGACCGGCCACAUUGGGCUGAGGUACGGCCCAAACUCCUACGGGAGGCAGCAGUGGGGAAUAUUGCGCAAUGGGGGAAACCCUGAUGCAGCAACGCCGCGUGCGGGAUGACGGCCUUCGGGUUGUAAACCGCUUUCAGCCAUGACGCGGUAGUGGCAGAAGAAGCACCGGCUAACUACGUGCCAGCAGCCGCGGUAAUUC